GCAUUGGUGGUUCAGUGGUAGAAUUCUCACCUGCCACGAGGGAGACCUGGGUCCGAUUCCCGGCUAAUGCA
rfam:Danio rerio chromosome 4, GRCz11 reference primary assembly.